AUUGAACGCAGGCGGCAGGCCUAACACAUGCAAGUCGAGCGGAUGAAGGGAGCUUGCUCCUGGAUUCAGCGGCGGACGGGUGAGUAAUGCCUAGGAAUCUGCCUGGCAGUGGGGGAUAACGUCCGGAAACGGGCGCUAAUACCGCAUACGUCCUGAGGGAGAAAGUGGGGGAUCUUCGGACCUCACGCUAUCAGAUGAGCCUAGGUCGGAUUAGCUAGUUGGUGGGGUAAAGGCCUACCAAGGCGACGAUCCGUAACUGGUCUGAGAGGAUGAUCAGUCACACUGGAACUGAGACACGGUCCAGACUCCUACGGGAGGCAGCAGUGGGGAAUAUUGGACAAUGGGCGAAAGCCUGAUCCAGCCAUGCCGCGUGUGUGAAGAAGGUCUUCGGAUUGUAAAGCACUUUAAGUUGGGAGGAAGGGCAGUAAGUUAAUACCUUGCUGUUUUGACGUUACCAACAGAAUAAGCACCGGCUAACUUCGUG
rnacentral:rRNA from 1 species